AGUGAACGCUGGCGGUAGGCCUAACACAUGCAAGUCGAACGGCAGCACAGUAAGAGCUUGCUCUUACGGGUGGCGAGUGGCGGACGGGUGAGGAAUACAUCGGAAUCUACUUUUUCGUGGGGGAUAACGUAGGGAAACUUACGCUAAUACCGCAUACGACCUACGGGUGAAAGCAGGGGAUCUUCGGACCUUGCGCGAUUGAAUGAGCCGAUGUCGGAUUAGCUAGUUGGCGGGGUAAAGGCCCACCAAGGCGACGAUCCGUAGCUGGUCUGAGAGGAUGAUCAGCCACACUGGAACUGAGACACGGUCCAGACUCCUACGGGAGGCAGCAGUGGGGAAUAUUGGACAAGGGGCGCAAGCCUGAUCCAGCCAUACCGCGUGGGUGAAGAAGGCCUUCGGGUUGUAAAGCCCUUUUGUUGGGAAAGAAAAGCAGCAGGUUAAUACCCCGCUGUUCUGACGGUACCCAAAGAAUAAGCACCAGCUAACUUCGUG
rnacentral:rRNA from 1 species